AUUAAGCCAUGCAAGUGUUAGUUCAGGUAACGAAACUGCGAAUAGCUCAUUAAUACGCUCAGAAUCUAUUUGGCGGCGACCAACAGGUCUUAAAUGGAUAGCAGCAGCAACUCUGGUGCUAAUACAUGCGAUUGUUUCUCCAGAUGUGAAUUAUGGAGGAAAAGUUGACCUCAUCAGAGGCACGCCAUUCGACUGAGUGACCUAUCAGCUUGUACUUAGGGUCUUUACCUAGGUAGGCUAUCACGGGUAACGGGCGGUUACCGUCGGACUGCCGGAGAAGGCGCCUGAGAGAUAGCGACUAUAUCCACGGGUAGCAGCAGGCGCGAAACUUUCCCACUCGAGACUUUCGGAGGAGGUAAUGACCAGUUCCAUUGGUGCCUUUUGGUACUGUGGAUAGGGGUACGGUUUUCCACCGUACCGAAACCUAGCAGAGGGCCAGUCUGGUGCCAGCAGCUGCGGUAAUUCCAGCUCUGCGAGUUUGCUCCCAUAUUGUUGCAGUUAAAACGCCCGUAGUCUGAAUUGGCCAGCAAUGGUCGUACGUAUUUUUACGUUCACUGUGAACAAAUCAGGACGCUUAGAGUAUGGCCACAUGAAUGACUCAGCGCAGUAUGAAGUCUUUGUUUUCUUCCGAAAACAAGCUCAAUGAGAGCCAUCGGGGGUAGAUCUAUCUCAUGACGAGUGGUGGAAUACUUUGACUCAUGAGAGAGAAGCUGAGGCGAAGGCGUCUACCUAGAGGGUUUCUGUCGAUCAAGGGCGAGAGUAGGAGUAUCCAACAGGAUUAGAGACCCUGGUAGUUCCUACCUUAAACGAUGCCGACAGGAGUUUGUCAUUUGUUAAUGGCAGAAUCUUUGGAGAAAUCAUAGUUCUUGGGCUCUGGGGGGAACUACGACCGCAAGGCUGAAACUUGAAGGAAUUGACGGAAGGGCACACCAGGGGUGGAGCCUGUGGCUAAAUUUGAAUCAA
rnacentral:ncRNA from 2 species